rnacentral:rRNA from 1 species
UACGGGGGGGGCAAGCGUUGUUCGGAAUUACUGGGCGUAAAGGCUCGUAGGCGGCCAACUAAGUCAGACGUGAAAUCCCCAGGCUCAACCUGGGAACUGCGUCUGAUACUGGAUGGCUUGAAUUCGGGGAGAGGGAUGCAGAAUUCCAGGUGUAGCGGUGAAAUGCGUAGAUAUCUGGAGGAAUACCGGUGGCGAAGGCGGCAUCCUGGACCGACAUUGACGCUGAUGAGCGAAAGCUAGGGGAGCAAACGGGG